rnacentral:rRNA from 1 species
AACGGUAACAGGAAGCAGCUUGCUGCUUUGCUGACGAGUGGCGGACGGGUGAGUAAUGUCUGGGAAACUGCCUGAUGGAGGGGGAUAACUACUGGAAACGGUGGCUAAUACCGCAUAACGUCGCAAGACCAAAGAGGGGGACCUUCGGGCCUCUUGCCAUCAGAUGUGCCCAGAUGGGAUUAGCUUGUUGGUGAGGUAACGGCUCACCAAGGCGACGAUCCCUAGCUGGUCUGAGAGGAUGACCAGCCACACUGGAACUGAGACACGGUCCAGACUCCUACGGGAGGCAGCAGUGGGGAAUAUUGCACAAUGGGCGCAAGCCUGAUGCAGCCAUGCCGCGUGUAUGAAGAAGGCCUUCGGGUUGUAAAGUACUUUCAGCGGGGAGGAAGGUGUUGUGGUUAAUAACCGCAGCAAUUGACGUUACCCGCAGAAGAAGCACCGGCUAACUCCGUGCCAGCAGCCGCGGUAAUACGGAGGGUGCAAGCGUUAAUCGGAAUUACUGGGCGUAAAGCGCACGCAGGCGGUCUGUCAAGUCGGAUGUGAAAUCCCCGGGCUCAACCUGGGAACUGCAUUCGAAACUGGCAGGCUUGAGUCUUGUAGAGGGGGGUAGAAUUCCAGGUGUAGCGGUGAAAUGCGUAGAGAUCUGGAGGAAUACCGGUGGCGAAGGCGGCCCCCUGGACAAAGACUGACGCUCAGGUGCGAAAGCGUGGGGAGCAAACAGGAUUAGAUACCCUGGUAGUCCACGCCGUAAACGAUGUCUACUUGGAGGUUGUGCCCUUGAGGCGUGGCUUCCGGAGCUAACGCGUUAAGUAGACCGCCUGGGGAGUACGGCCGCAAGGUUAAAACUCAAAUGAAUUGACGGGGGCCCGCACAAGCGGUGGAGCAUGUGGUUUAAUUCGAUGCAACGCGAAGAACCUUACCUGGUCUUGACAUCCACAGAAGAAUCCAGAGAUGGAUUUGUGCCUUCGGGAACUGUGAGACAGGUGCUGCAUGGCUGUCGUCAGCUCGUGUUGUGAAAUGUUGGGUUAAGUCCCGCAACGAGCGCAAC